rnacentral:rRNA from 1 species
AGAGUUUGAUCAUGGCUCAGGAUGAACGCUAGCGGCAGGCCUCAUACAUGCAAGUCGAGGGGCAACAGGACACUUCGGUGUUGCUGGCGACCGGCGCACGGGUGCGUAACACGUAUGCAAUCUACCUUGUACUGGAGCAUAGCUCUCGGAAACGAGAAUUAAUACUCCAUAUUAUCCCAUUAGCGCAUGCUAGUGGGAUG